UGAGAGAAAAUAGGGAUUAAAGUUUCUUUCUUAUCUAAUCAAUGGAUUCUCUUAUGGUGUGUAAAGGUGCCACUGUGAUGUCUCAUGAAGAAGAACGGCGAAAAGAAGAAAACUUAUUUUUUCAUAAAAUUCUAGAUCCAAAAACCUAGGAUCUUUUGUAUGUGAUGCAAAUUUAAACUGUUUAGAUCUAAAAUUAUUUUAAUAUCUAAACUAAACAUAUAUUAAUAAUGCA
rnacentral:lncRNA from 1 species